rnacentral:lncRNA from 1 species
AUGGUCACUUGGCUUGGACCCCACCUCAACCCACCUCCCUACAGAGAGUGAGCGCAGGUAACUUCUUCAGUGUGGAGUUCUGCUUUUGCCUCAGGAUCUUACUCCAGUUCCUGCAGCCCCAGGGAGGGGAUGCUUUUUCCUGACUUCACCCCACCCGGGCAGCGUGGGUGUCUCAGCAGUGCUCAUACCUGCCUUGCAGCUCCGAUUCCAUGGCCCCGUGAAUCUGUGUGCACUCUGAACACAUUGCAUUCAAGCACCUACUGCUGCCCAGGAUCACACAAAGAAGAAUUAAUGGACCAUUCAGAAAGAAACAAUCUCUGCGAGGAAUGAUGCAAAUCAAUCAUCUGUGAGUGGCUGAUGUCCCCACGCAGUCACUUG